UACGUAGGGGGCGAGCGUUGUUCGGAAUUACUGGGCGUAAAGGGCGUGUAGGCGGUGCGAUAAGUCGGAUGUGAAAUCCCCGGGCUCAACCCGGGGCGGUCAUUCGAAACUGUCGCGCUAGAGGGUGGGAGAGGGAAGUGGAAUUCCCGGUGUAGCGGUGAAAUGCGUAGAUAUCGGGAAGAACACCGGUGGCGAAGGCGGCUUCCUGGCCCACAACUGACGCUGAGGCGCGAAAGCUAGGGGAGCAAACAGG
rnacentral:rRNA from 1 species